rnacentral:tRNA from 1 species
UGCCCAGGGAUGGGAAUCGAACCCACAGUGUUCUGGGCUUACCGGGCAAAUGUCAUGUCCACUAGGCUACCCUGGAC